ensembl:lncRNA
CUCUCUCUCAUCUAUCUCCUCACCUCUCUCGGUGGGCAUGUGUGUCUUUUGUAUGUGUUGAAUAUGAAUAAACUGUAUUUACAUGUAUUUACGUAUAUGCAUAUGCACAGUGCAUAAGAGCUUGCAGCCUCAUACCCACGAAGGCUGUAAUCGCUGCCAAAGGGAGCCAACCCGACUAAGCGCUGCGGAGAAGCAGCGGCGCUCUCGCGUUCGACGCGAUGCCGUGCCCAGAGAGGAGAGAGAGAUACUUCAAAAAGGAACAGCAGAAAUACUGGGAGGACAUAGCAUCAGGCAGGAAGUGGAGAGAGACUUACGACAGGAUCAAGUCCAGGAAAGUAGCCCUAAAGCACUUCACCACACCUCCAGAGAGCCCCCGGCUUUCACCAGACAGAGCUGAUAAUCCAGAGCCAAGCACUUCCGGGUCAGGAUGAGAGUUAAGCUCUAGUGCCAAACUAGAGACUUUCUAAGAAAAGAGGAAGAUGGAGAACCCAUACUGUGCAGAGGCAGGAGCCAGACACACAUGCUGCAGGGGGAGGAGCGAUACUCACACCUUCUCUCUCUUUCCCUCUCUCCACCGCCCACCCCACCCCGCACACACAAGCACGCACUCACAUACAUGCACACACACUCAUGGAAAAGCACGCACACACACUCAUGCAAAAGCACGCACACACACUCAAUGCGAAAGCACUCACACACACUCAAGCAAAAGCAUGCACACACAAUUGUUACUGCUUUUAUAUUGUUAUUUAGACUAAGAUCUUUUUUUUUGCCAAAUAUAAUGACCUCUGUUUUAUCUUUGUUUAAUUUAAGGAAAUUCUGUGACAUCCAGUUAUUCUCACACACACCAGCACUCAUUCCUGUUACUCAGUGCUCAUUCCUGUUACUCAGUGCUCAUUCCUGUUACUCAGUGCUCAUUCCUGUUACUCAGUGCUCAUUCCUGUUACUCAGUGCUCAUUCCUGUUACUCAGCGCUCAUUCCUGUUACUCAGUGCUCAUUCCUGUUACUCAGUGCUCAUUCCUGUUACUCAGUGCUCAUUCCUGUUACUCAGCACUCAUUCCUGUUACUCAGCGCUCAUUCCUGUUACUCA